AUAGGGACCAUCUUUUUCUAUUUUCAGAGCAGGGGAUGAUCUGGUGGGUUUGAGAGAGGCAGAGACAAACUGUUCUAGAAAGUUGGAGAUAUUGGAUCACCAAAACUAAAAUAAAUAGCAUUGAGUUCAGGCACCCAGUGAGGAAGUACUGCUCCAGGAGCAGACCUAGGUCUUGCUGUGUCCCUCUGUGACUGCAGCAGGCUCCGCCCCCCUCCACACUCCCUCGGGCUUGCAGUUCCUCCUGGCUCCCUGGAAUAUCAGCAUCCGCAGUCCUUCUUUAAGAGGCAGCCAGCAGGAACGCCUCCCUUGCUUCUGCGCCUCCCUUGAUGGGGAGGAGCCACCAAGGCUACCAGCUGCUGGCCUCCUGAGUGACAAAACCAGCAGCCAUAUUAGAGUGAAGAGGCCUGGUUGUGGAGGGCUGUGCGCUCAGCGUGGAAUUAUAGCAGUUCAUUUUCUAAAGUGCCACGAGACCUGGGGAUGAACCUUCCGAGAGAAGGGAAAACCACAACAGCAGUCCCCUCGUAGAGAUGCAAUUCAUCAUGGGCAGGACGGCUGGGUCUGUCAACAGGAAGGGCUCUUUUCCCUGUGACGCACAAAAGCAAUCCCACGGGCUCUGUGUUGCAGCAAGAGGACCCUGAACUCCCUCAGACACCCUGGCUGUGUGCAGGGAGCCUCCGAAAUCCAGAGACGGGAGGCAUGCAUCGCCAUCGUUUCCUGUCCAAAACAAGCACUGGGGAUUCUGAGGAACCUCUGAGGAGCACCCUGCCUUUACUUGCAGUUCUUCCAGAGAGAUGUUGGAGCUGACAACUGGAGACAAUAUGGCUUGGUGACAACAUCAUAAAAGGUAUGCCAAUGAAAUGUGUAUAUGUCUCCUCAGCUUAUGCAUGCAUGUGCACACGCACAAGGCUAGAAUGAGUCAAAGCCUCUGUUGUCAAAAUCAAGGAAGUGCAUCGUGCAUGGCGGAACCAAGCAAAUACAAAUCAGAGGGGACGCUAUCCUGAGGGUAACCCUGACAGUGAAGGGUGGGAGGAGCGGGGUCUGGAGAUGGGGAGCCUGCCCCUUAGGAAGCAGAAGACAAGCCUCAGAGCCUGCUGUUUGGGGGUUCCCAUGCUAUUUGCCUGCAGUAAGACUCACAUUCCUGUAGCAUGUGCUUUCUUGCAUCUUCCCUUGCUCAGGCAGUCUCUUCUGCCUAGAGGGAGGGAUAAGACUUUGCUGGAAGAGACUCUGACAAUUCCAAGGGG
rnacentral:lncRNA from 1 species